UGGGCUUGACAUCUUGGGGAAAGCCGUGAGAAACCGAGUCCCCUCUUCGGAGUCCCAAGACAGGUGCUGCAUGGCUGUCGUCAGCUCGUGUCGUGAGAUGUUGGGUUAAGUCCCGCAACGAGCGCAACCCCCGCUCCCAGUUGCUACCGGGUAGAGCCGAGGACUCUGGGAGGACUGCCGGUGCCAAACCGGAGGAAGGUGGGGAUGACGUAGCUAAGCCUUC
rnacentral:misc_RNA from 1 species